GAUGAAGAACGUAGCGAAAUGCGAUAAGUAAUGUGAAUUGCAGAAUUCAGUGAAUCAUCGAAUCUUUGAACGCACCUUGCGCCCUUUGGCCAUUCCGAAGGGCAUGCCUGUUUGAGUAUCAUGAACACCUCAACUCUCAUGGCUCGCCAUGAUGAGCUUGGACUUUGGGGGUCUUGCUGGCCUGUGGUCGGCUCCUCUCAAAUGGAUCAGCUUGCCAGUGUUUGGUGGCAUCACAGGUGUGAUAACUAUCUGCGCUUGUGGUUUUCCAUCAGAUAACCUUCAGUGAUGGAGGUUCGCUGGAGCUCAUAAACGUCUCCCCUAAGCGGGGACAGCCCUUUGAAUGUUUGAUCUCAAAUCAGGUAGGACUACCCGCUGAACUUAAGCAUAUCAAUAAGCGGAGGA
rnacentral:misc_RNA from 1 species